UUGCUUUACCCAUUGUAUUGCAAAUGCCCAUAAUUCCUUGUUUCCUUCUCUAAAUCCAUGGUUUCUAUAAACCAUUUCAAUGAGCUCAUAAGUGACGAUUAUUACACAUUUUUCACUCUAUAAAUAUCACUCAAUAUUUCAGACAUCUCCAAGCUCAAAACCCAUCUGAAAUUAUGAUUUUUAAUUCAUAAGAGAAUGAGUUUUUCUAAUGUAUUCUUCUUCUCUAUUUCGUGAGCUAUGGCUUCCAUAGCCAGCCAAUUUGAGCUUCUGAUUUUUGCCCCAAUAAUACCCAGAAGAUCACCAAUUCAACCCACCAAUUGUAAAACCCGAAACUCGAAUUGUCAAAAAUUUCUCUCACCUAUAUUUCACCACCGCGGCGCAUCCCUUCUGACCGCCGCUACCACCACCUUAGGCCCACCGUUCAGAACCGGCGCCACCUUGCUUUCCGGCGUCGGAGUCGUCCACUGUAGCCUAGUUGCUACGGUGUUGCCAUUGUUGCUCGGCACCUCUGUCUUUGCUAUUCUACUAUUGCCUACUGCUUAUACAUGUUAUCAAAUAUAAUCCAAAAUUCCAAAGAGUUAAAAGGGGGUUGUAGUAAGAGUUGGGCCAAGUCAAUGAAUAUACUAUUGUGGGAUUUAUUUUUGGAAUGUAUCAUAUGCCUCUUCAAGGAGGGAUUGACCGAAAAUUAAGAAAAAGGGGCCCAAGUAAUGGUUAUGCAAAUUGGUUAAAGAGUUAAAUGUUGAUGAUCAAAGGAUUAUGGUACGAAUUGGGAGUUGAGCUUGGGUUUAGAGUUAAGCAAUACGAAUUAGCAAUCGAGGUUCGGUUAUGGAGCUCGAGUUCCUCAAGAGGAGAGUUAUUACUGGAGUUGGUAAUUUAUUAUGGAGAUAUCGAGAUGAGAAAUUACUUAUUAUGGGAAUCCUGUUAUUAAGUUUUUGAAUAUGAGAAUAUUGAAUUAUAUUUAUUUUGGGAAUAUUGUAUUAUUUAAAGGAAUGUUAAUAAGGAUUGUUUUAUUUGUGGGCCCAUACCCACAGGUCCCAGGAUUAA